rnacentral:rRNA from 1 species
GACGAACGCUGGCGGCGUGCCUAAUACAUGCAAGUUGAGCGCUGAAGGUUGGUACUUGUACCAACUGGAUGAGCAGCGAACGGGUGAGUAACGCGUGGGGAAUCUGCCUUUGAGCGGGGGACAACAUUUGGAAACGAAUGCUAAUACCGCAUAAAAACUUUAAACACAAGUUUUAUGUUUGAAAGAUGCAAUUGCAUCACUCAAAGAUGAUCCCGCGUUGUAUUAGCUAGUUGGUGAGGUAAAGGCUCACCAAGGCGAUGAUACAUAGCCGACCUGAGAGGGUGAUCGGCCACAUUGGGACUGAGACACGGCCCAAACUCCUACGGGAGGCAGCAGUAGGGAAUCUUCGGCAAUGGACGAAAGUCUGACCGAGCAACGCCGCGUGAGUGAAGAAGGUUUUCGGAUCGCAAAACUCUGUUGGUAGAGAAGAACGUUGGUGAGAGUGGAAAGCUCAUCAAGUGACGGUAACUACACAGAAAGGGACGGCUAACUACGUG